rnacentral:rRNA from 1 species
CCUACGGGAGGCAGCAGUGGGGAAUAUUGGACAAUGGGCGAAAGCCUGAUCCAGCAAUGCCGCGUGAGUGAUGAAGGCCCUCGGGUUGUAAAGCUCUGUCGGGAGGGACGAAAAAGCGCGGGUAACGCCGUGACUUGACGGUACCUCCAAAGGAAGCACCGGCUAACUCUGUGCCAGCAGCCGCGGUAAUACAGAGGGUGCAAGCGUUGUUCGGAAUUACUGGGCGUAAAGCGCGUGUAGGCUGCGAUCUAAGUCAGGUGUGAAAGCCCUCAGCUUAACUGAGGAAGUGCACUUGAUACUGGGUUGCUUGAGUGUCGGAGGGGGUGGCGGAAUUCCCGGUGUAGAGGUGAAAUUCGUAGAUAUCGGGAGGAACACCUGUGGCGAAGGCGGCCACCUGGACGACAACUGACGCUGAGACGCGAAAGCGUGGGUAGCAAACAGGAUUAGAUACCCUGGUAGUCCACGCUGUAAACGAUGAGUGCUAGACGUCACGGGUAUUGACCCCUGUGGUGUCGAAGUUAACACGUUAAGCNCNCGCGNGGAGACGUCGCGAGAUAAACUACAAGAAGUAGAGCGUGAGAGUGACGACGGACGACGACGAGGGAGGAGG